GAUGAAGAACGUAGCGAAAUGCGAUACGUAAUGUGAAUUGCAGAAUUCAGUGAAUCAUCGAAUCUUUGAACGCAUAUUGCGCUCUCUGGUAUUCCGGAGAGCAUGCUUGUUUGAGUAUCAGUAAACACCUCAACUCCCUUUCUUCUUGAAAUGGAGCUGGACUUGAGUGAUCCCAACGCUUUAUUCAUAAAGUGGCGGGUUACUUGAAAUGCAGGUGCAGCUGGACUUUCCUCUGAGCUAUAAGCAUAUCUAUUUAGUCUGCCUCAAAACAGAUUAUUACCUUUGCUGCAGCUAACAUAAAGGAGAUUAGUUCUUGUGCUGACUGAUGCAGGAUUCACAAAGACCGCUUCGGCUGUCUUUGUAAACUCGAUCUCAAAUCAAGUAAGACUACCCGCUGAACUUAAGCAUAUCAAUAAGCGGAGGA
rnacentral:misc_RNA from 1 species